UACGGGGGGGGCAAGCGUUGUUCGGAAUUACUGGGCGUAAAGGGCUCGUAGGUGGCCAACUAAGUCGGACGUGAAAUCCCUCGGCUUAACCGGGGAACUGCGUCCGAUACUGGUUGGCUUGAGUUUGGGAGAGGGAUGCGGAAUUCCAGGUGUAGCGGUGAAAUGCGUAGAUAUCUGGAGGAACACCGGUGGCGAAGGGGGGUCGCUGGGCCGAUACUGACGCUGAGGAGCGAAAGCGUGGGGAGCGAACAGG
rnacentral:rRNA from 1 species